CAAACAGAAAAUCCUGUGUGCUUGGAAUGGGUCAAAUAAAUUUGUUAAUUAAAAGCCAGCAAAGACCAGGAGAGGCACUUUAUUGUAAAUAGGGAAGAGCAGCACAUAACUCCAAGCUGACUUGGUGCCUCAAGGAGAGUAUUGCCGUUGGUUUCCAGUUUCCUGUUCUGAGGACUGCAUCAUGGUCAGGUGUGCAAUGCAUCCUCCAGGCCUGGACCUGGCUCUGUUGGCUGGCUUUGAAACCUUGCACAGCUGACUCCUCUAAGCCUUUGAAACCUUGAGCAGCUGACUCCUCUAAGCUGACUCCUCUAAGUUUCCUCCUUGGUAAUUGAAUAAGGAAAUAUGUGAACAUCCUUAUCAGGUCUCCUGGAGCUUAGUGAGAUUUCAAUGGUCAUGUUAACCAGGGGUAUCAUUGACAUCAUCAUAACAUAUUCAGGUAGCUGUAAAUGGAAUUUUCCAGAUUUGGUGUUCAGGGACAUGUUGAUCUUGGAAUCAUAUUCUAGGUUGAAGUUACUCUGGGAUGACUGUCUCUAUUUAUGAUUAUGACUACUUUUUCCAACACUAGUCCAGGGCAAUUUAUGAUAAGUUGAGGGAAAGGAAAGAAAAUCAAGAGGGUGCUGAAGGGAAUAGGAAGGGGCUCUUUCCUUAAGGAACAGGAGUGCUAAUGAUUCCCUUGAGGGGGGAAGCAGCAUCCAGUGGGGUACUACCUCUGGGGCCCUAAGCAGCUCCCCUUGCCUGUCUGGUCCUCUGGGUAGGAGAAUUUAAGCAGUGAAAUUUUGGUUUUGCCUCUGGUGUCUCUUUAAAGUCUCAAUGGGGUGAGUCCUUAUCCCCACACUGGAUAAGAAUUUCAGGCUGGCACCAGAACAUUCCUUCUCAUUCAUGGUUUUAAACACUCCUUUUAUUCCUAAGUCACACAGUUAGUCUCUUUUCUAAUAUCAGAAUGUCCUACCUAACACACUAACCUAUACUUCAACCUUUUUGAAGAGAGCCUUCUUCCUCUUCCUCCAUGUGGUCCACUGUAGAGGGUUGCUGAUCUUCUGGAAAGAGGAAAAUAAAUGCCAUCUCCCCCAACAUGUGCACAUGGGGGCUGGAAGUGGGGAGAGGUAGGAUUCAUGAGGGUGAAAAGGAAGGUACUUACUUGGGUGUGCUCGGGCACCAUGUGGGUCAAUAAUUGGGCAUGGUGGGGGGACUGGGGUUAUGGCUCAGCAGUAAAGUGCUCACCUAGCAUGUGUGAGGCCCUGGGUUUGAUCCUUAGCAC
rnacentral:lncRNA from 1 species